AGAGUUUGAUCCUGGCUCAGGAUGAACGCUGGCGGCGUGCUUAACACAUGCAAGUCGAACGGACUCAUAUUGAAACCUAGUGAUUUAUGAGUUAGUGGCGGACGGGUGAGUAACGCGUGGAAAACCUGCCGUAUACCGGGGGAUAACACUUAGAAAUAGGUGCUAAUACCGCAUAAGCGCACAGCUUCGCAUGAAGCAGUGUGAAAAACUCCGGUGGUAUAUGAUGGUUCCGCGUCUGAUUAGCUAGUUGGCGGGGUAACGGCCCACCAAGGCAGCGAUCAGUAGCCGGCCUGAGAGGGUGAACGGCCACAUUGGGACUGAGACACGGCCCAAACUCCUACGGGAGGCAGCAGUGGGGAAUAUUGCACAAUGGGGGAAACCCUGAUGCAGCGACGCCGCGUGAGUGAAGAAGUAUUUCGGUAUGUAAAGCUCUAUCAGCAGGGAAGAAAAUGACGGUACCUGACUAAGAAGCCCCGGCUAACUACGUGCCAGCAGCCGCGGUAAUACGUAGGGGGCAAGCGUUAUCCGGAUUUACUGGGUGUAAAGGGAGCGUAGACGGCAGCGCAAGUCUGGAGUGAAAUGCCGGGGCCCAACCCCGGAACUGCUUUGGAAACUGUGCAGCUUGAGUGCGGGAGAGGUAAGUGGAAAUUCCUAGUGUAGCGGUGAAAUGCGUAGAUAAUUAGGAGGAACACCAGUGGGCGAAGGCGGGCUUACUGGGACCGUAAACUGACGUUGAGGCUCCGAAAGCGUGGGUAUCGAACAGGAUUAGAUACCCUGGUAGUCCACGCAGUAAACGAUGAAUGCCGGCUGCCCGGGCCGAUUGAGGCCUGGGUGGCGAAGCGAAAGCGAUAAGCAUUCCACCUGGGGAGUACGCCGGCAACGGUGAAACUCAAAGGAAUUGACGGGGGCCCGCACAAGCGGAGGAACAUGUGGUUUAAUUCGAUGAUACGCGAGGAACCUUACCCGGGCUCAAACGGCGGACGACGUGCGCAGAGACGCGCAUUUCUUCGGACGUCCGCCGAGGUGCUGCAUGGUUGUCGUCAGCUCGUGCCGUGAGGUGUCGGCUUAAGUGCCAUAACGAGCGCAACCCCUGCCGACAGUUGCUAACAGGUUAUGCUGAGGACUCUGUCGGGACUGCCGGCGCAAGCCGUGAGGAAGGCGGGGAUGACGUCAAAUCAGCACGGCCCUUACGUCCGGGGCGACACACGUGUUACAAUGGGUGGCACAGAGGGAAGCCAGGCGGCGACGCCGAGCGGAACCCGAAAUCCACUCUCAGUCCGGAUCGGAGUCUGCAACCCGACUCCGUGAAGCUGGAUUCGCUAGUAAUCGCGCAUCAGCCAUGGCGCGGUGAAUACGAAAGCGGGCCUUGCACGCACCGCCCGUCA
rnacentral:rRNA from 1 species